rnacentral:rRNA from 1 species
GACGAACGCUGGCGGCGUGCUUAACACAUGCAAGUCGAGCGAUCAAGCUCCUUCGGGAGUGGAUUAGCGGCGGACGGGUGAGUAACACGUGGGUAACCUGCCUCAUAGAGGGGAAUAGCCUUCCGAAAGGAAGAUUAAUACCGCAUAAGAUUAUAGUUUCGCAUGAAACAGCAAUUAAAGGAGUAAUCCGCUAUGAGAUGGACCCGCGUGGCAUUAGCUAGUGGGUGAGGUAACGGCUCACCAAGGCGACGAUGCGGAGCCGACCUGAGAGGGUGAUCGGCCACAUUGGGACUGAGACACGGCCCAGACUCCUACGGGAGGCAGCAGUGGGGAAUAUUGCACAAUGGGGGAAACCCUGAUGCAGCAACGCCGCGUGAGUGAUGACGGUCUUCGGAUUGUAAAGCUCUGUCUUCAGGGACGAUAAUGACGGUACCUGAGGAGGAAGCCACGGCUAACUACGUGCCAGCCGCCGCUGUAACAC